rnacentral:lncRNA from 1 species
GAAUGGGUUGUUUUAGGUUACGCAGCGGCGGCUGAAGCGAUCAUGGUGGUGCUAUUGACGAUGCCAGGACUCGACGGACUCCGCAAGGGAUUAGUCGCCGUCACGCGUAAUCUCCUCAAACCGUUUCUCUCCAUAGUUCCUUUCUGCCUCUUCUUAUUAAUGGACAUCUACUGGAAGUACGAGACGAUGCCUUCGUGCGAAGGCGAUUCCUGCACACCGUCGGAGCAUCUUCGUCACCAGAAAUCCAUGAUGAAAUCCCAGCGAAACGCGCUUCUCAUCGCGGCUGCCCUUGUCUUCUACUGGAUCCUUUACUCAGUGACCAAUUUGGUUGUCAGGAUCGAGCAUCUUAACCAGAGGAUCGAGAGGCUCAGGAACAAGGAUUGAUCGGCU